rnacentral:rRNA from 1 species
GAGUUUGAUCCUGGCUCAGAUUGAACGCUGGCGGCAUGCCUUACACAUGCAAGUCGAACGGCAGCACGGGAGCUUGCUCCUGGUGGCGAGUGGCCGAACGGGUGAGUAAUGCAUCGGACGUAGUCCUGGAGUGGGGGAUAACGUAGCGAAAGUUACGCUAAUACCGCAUAUUCUGUGAGCAGGAAAGCGGGGGACCUUCGGGCCUCGCCGCUCUUGGAGCGGCCGAUGUCGGAUUAGCCUAGUUGGUGAGGUAAAGGCUCACCAAGGCGACGAUCCGUAGCAGGUCUGACGAGGAUGAUCUGCCACACUGGAACUGAGACACGGUCCAGAC